rnacentral:rRNA from 2 species
UAAGGAAUAUUGGUCAAUGGACGCAAGUCUGAACCAGCCAUGCCGCGUGAAGGAUGAAGGUCCUCUGGAUUGUAAACUUCUUUUAUAGGGGGCGAAAAAAGGGUUUUCUAACUCACUUGACAGUACCCUAUGAAUAAGCACCGGCUAACUCCGUGCCAGCAGCCGCGGUAAUACGGAGGGUGCAAGCGUUAUCCGGAUUCACUGGGUUUAAAGGGUGCGUAGGCGGAUAGGUAAGUCAGAGGUGAAAUCCUGGAGCUUAACUCCAGAACUGCCUUUGAUACUAUCUAUCUUGAAUAUGGUGGAGGUAAGCGGAAUAUGUCAUGUAGCGGUGAAAUGCAUAGAUAUGACAUAGAACACCUAUUGCGAAGGCAGCUUACUACGCCUAUAUUGACGCUGAGGCACGAAAGCGUGGGGAUCAAACAGG